AUUUACUGUAAGGUACAUGAGAAUCUUAAGUUAUUUACUGCAAUGUAUUUACUGCAAGGUACAUGAUAAUCGCAAGGUAUUUACUGCAAGGUACAUGUAUUUACUGCAAGGUAUAUGAGGAUCGCAAGGUAUUUACUGCAAGGUACAUGAGAAUCGCAAGGUAUUUACUGCAAGGUAUUUACUGCAAGGUAUAUGAGGAUCGCAAGGUAUUUACUGCAAGGUACAUGAGAAUCUUAAGUUAUUUACUGCAAGGUAUUUACUGCAAGGUACAUGAUAAUCGCAAGGUAUUUACUGCAAGGUAUUUACUGCAAGGUACAUGAGAAUCGCAAGGUAUUUACUGCAAGGUAUUUACUGCAAGGUAUUUACUGCAAGAUAUAUGAGGAUCGCAAGGUA